GCUCCCAUGGCGUAGUGGUCACUGCGCUCGCCUUGCACGCGGGAGACCCGGGUUCGAUUCCUGGCGGGUUCA
rnacentral:tRNA from 1 species